rnacentral:tRNA from 1 species
GGUAUGGUAGUUCAGUGGUAGAGCACUUGCCUUGCAUGCAUGAGGCCCUGGGUUCGAUUCCUCAGCACCA